GGUUGAUCCUGCCAGUAGUCAUACGCUUGUCUCAAAGAUUAAGCCAUGCAUGUCUAAGUGUAAGUAUUUUUACAGCGAAACUGCGAAUGGCUCAUUAAAACAGUUAUAGUUUAUUUGAUCAUCAUUUUUACAUGGAUAACCGUGGGAAUUCUAGGGCUAAUACAUGCGUAAACCCGUAAGGGAUGUGUUUAUUAGAUUAAAACCAUCAGAGUGCUUGCACUUCUUUGUUGGAAUAAUAAUAACCGAUCGAAUCGCCUGAACUGGCGAUAAAUCAUUCAAGUUUCUGACCUAU
rnacentral:rRNA from 1 species